rnacentral:rRNA from 1 species
CGCAGUCUGAUCCAGCCAUGCCGCGUGCAGGAUGACGGUCCUAUGGAUUGUAAACUGCUUUUGUACGAAAAAAAACAACAUUACGUGUAAUGUCUUGACGGUAUCGUAAGAAUAAGGAUCGGCUAACUCCGUGCCAGCAGCCGCGGUAAUACGGAGGAUCCAAGCGUUAUCCGGAAUCAUUGGGUUUAAAGGGUCCGUAUGCGGUUUAGUAAGUCAGUGGUGAAAGCCCAUCGCUCAACGGUGGAACGGCCAUUGAUACUGCUGAACUUGAAUUAUUAGGAAGUAACUAGAAUAUGUAGUGUAGCGGUGAAAUGCUUAGAGAUUACAUGGAAUACCAAUUGCGAAGGCAGGUUACUACUAAUGGAUUGACGCUGAUGGACGAAAGCGUGGGUAGCGAACAGGAUUAGAUACCCUGGUAGUCCACGCCGUAGACGAUGGAUACUAGCUGUUGGGGGCAACUUCAGUGGCUAAGCGAAAGUGAUAAGUAUCCCACCUGGGGAGUACGUUCGCAAGAAUGAAACUCAGAGGAAUUGACGGGGGCCCGCACAAGCGGUGGAGCAUGUGGUUUAAUUCGAUGAUACGCGAGGAACCUUACCAAGGCUUAAAUGUAGAUUGACCGAUUUGGAAACAGAU